rnacentral:rRNA from 1 species
AAUGAACGCUGGCGGCGUGCUUAACACAUGCAAGUCGUGCGCGAAGGUGGCUUCGGCUGCCGGAGAGCGGCGAACGGGUGAGUAACACGUGGGUAAUCUACCUGGGAGCGGGGGAUAACCUGGGGAAACUCGGGCUAAUACCGCAUACGUUGACUGGGAUGCGUCCUGGUCAGGAAAACUGGCCUCUACUUGUAAGCUAGUGCUCUCAGAGGAGCCCGCGGCUGAUUAGCUAGUUGGUGAGGUAAUGGCUCACCAAGGCGACGAUCAGUAGCCGGCCUGAGAGGGUGAUCGGCCACACUGGGACUGAGACACGGCCCAGACUCCUACGGGAGGCAGCAGUGGGGAAUAUUGGACAAUGGGCGCAAGCCUGAUCCAGCAACGCCGCGUGGAGGAUGAAGGUCUUCGGAUUGUAAAGCAC